rnacentral:lncRNA from 1 species
CCAAAAGGAUCAACUUACUUACAUGCAUGCUCCUGCAGGUCGAAGGUAAGGUUCAAACGAUUUGUUUAUAGAGUCAUGCAUUCAGAAUCAGAGGUGACUCUUAAUCUGUUUUACAUAUAAGAAAAUAAAAAAACAGUAAAUUAAGCGCGAGCAUGCCUAAUCUUCUCUUUUAAUUUGUGUAUAUACAUAGAGAAAUUAAGUAUAUAGUUUCUCAAAAUUCAGCUAGUUGGUGGAGAAAGUAGUGCAUGAUUGAGGAAGCUGCGGUGAACCUGGAAUAGCACCACUUCCACUGUUGUUGUUGUUACCGUCAUUGCCUCCUCUUGGUACUCCAAUGAUUGAUGAGAUUGCUGCUGCCAAAGCUGCAGUGAAGUUCGGAUCAGAAGCAAUGGCUGCACUCACCGUUUCGACCAUCGACG